rfam:Lupinus angustifolius cultivar Tanjil chromosome LG16, whole genome shotgun sequence.
UUACUUACCUGGAUGGGGUCAAUGGGUGACAAUAAAGCCCAUGGCCUAGGCUUGUGACCUCUAUUGCACUUGGGAGGGGUGCUUGCCUAAGGUCUCCACAAGUGGGAGAGUCUACAUCAUAAUUUGUGGCAGUGGGGACCUGCGUUCGCGCAGUCCCUC